UACGGACUCUGGAAGGAUGGACACAUGAUAAUUUGAGCAACAGUACUUUAUCACAGUGAUACUCUAAAAAGAUGACUGCCAUCCCAAGGGUUGCAGCACUGGUGUCUGGGUUCUGAUGACUUAUUAACAGGCACUGCUAUUUCUGGGACAGACCAGAUGCUGACUUCCCAGCCAGGACCCUGGGACUGUCUGCUCCCUCUUCCAACCCUGCCUGUCCCAUCCUUGCCAUGCCAGCGGCUUCCUGACCAGGGAUGUCUCUUUUGCUGUCUUAGCCCUGCCUCUCCUUCUCUGUCAUGCUUAUCACCAUUCAUGGUUUUAUGUCACUUGUGAGACAUGAGGCCAGUGUCACCCUUCCUCCAAUACAAAGGGGCGUUUUUAUCCCAUUUGUGAAGCACAGAUAACGUUCAGGA
rnacentral:lncRNA from 1 species